rnacentral:rRNA from 1 species
GGGCCCGCACAAGCGGUGGAGUAUGUGGUUUAAUUCGAUGCAACGCGAAGAACCUUACCAGGGUUUGACAUCCUGCGAAUCUCUUGGAAACGAGAGAGUGCCUUCGGGAACGCAGUGACAGGUGGUGCAUGGCUGUCGUCAGCUCGUGUCGUGAGAUGUUGGGUUAAGUCCCGCAACGAGCGCAACCCACGUCUUUAGUUGCCAGCGAUUCGGUCGGGGACUCUAGAGAGACUGCCUGCGCAAGCAGAGAGGAAGGCGGGGACGACGUCAAAUCAUCAUGGCCUUUAUGCCCAGGGCUACACACGUGCUACAAUGGUAAGGACAAAGGGCAGCGAGCCGGCGACGGUCAG